rnacentral:rRNA from 1 species
UGGGGAAUAUUGCACAAUGGGCGCAAGCCUGAUGCAGCCAUGCCGCGUGUAUGAAGAAGGCCUUCGGGUUGUAAAGUACUUUCAGUCGGGAGGAAGGUGGUAAGGUUAAUAACCUUAUCAAUUGACGUUACCGACAGAAGAAGCACCGGCUAACUCCGUGCCAGCAGCCGCGGUAAUACGGAGGGUGCAAGCGUUAAUCGGAAUUACUGGGCGUAAAGCGCACGCAGGCGGUUGAUUGAGUCAGAUGUGAAAUCCCCGGGCUUAACCCGGGAAUUGCAUCUGAGACUGGUCAGCUAGAGUCUUGUAGAGGGGGGUAGAAUUCCAUGUGUAGCGGUGAAAUGCGUAGAGAUGUGGGGGAAUACCGGUGGCGAAGGCGGCCCCCUGGACAAAGACUGACGCUCAGGUGCGAAAGCGUGGGGAGCAAACAGG